ensembl:piRNA 21ur-11210 ncRNA
UAGUUCUCUCUCCGUUGUUAC